rnacentral:tRNA from 3 species
CGGGGUGUGGCGCAGCUUGGUAGCGCGCGUCGUUCGGGACGACGAGGUCGCAGGUUCAAAUCCUGUCACCCCGACGA